CCUACGGUAGGCAGCAGUGGGGAAUAUUGGACAAUGGGGGGAACCCUGAUCCAGCGACGCCGCGUGAGUGAAGAAGUAUUUCGGUAUGUAAAGCUCUAUCAGCAGGGAAGAAAGAAAUGACGAUACCUGACUAAGAAGCCCCGGCUAACUAAGUGCCAGCAGCCGCGGUAAUACGUAGGGGGCAAGCGUUAUCCGGAUUUACUGGGUGUAAAGGGAGCGUAGACGGCGAUGCAAGUCUGAAGUGAAAGGCGGGGGCCCAACCUCCGGACUGCUUUGGAAACUGUAUGGCUGGAGUGCAGGAGAGGUAAGUGGAAUUCCUAGUGUAGCGGUGAAAUGCGUAGAGAUUAGGAGGAACACCAGUGGCGAAGGCGGCUUACUGGACUGUAACUGACGUUGAGGCUCGAAAGCGUGGGGAGCAAACAGGAUUAGAUACCCGUGUAGUC
rnacentral:rRNA from 1 species